GACGAACGCUGGCGGCGUGCUUUAUACAUGCAAGUCGAACGAGAAGCUGACUUCGGUCAGUGGAAAGUGGCGGACGGGUGAGUAAAAUGUAGAGAAUCUGCCCUUGAGCGGGGGAUAACAGUCGGAAACGAUUGCUAAUACCCCAUAUGAGGUGAGUUGAAAUACUUAUCUUGAAAACUCCGGUGCUCAAGGAUGAGUCUGCAUCUGAUUAGCUAGUUGGUGGUGUAAUGGACCACCAAGGCGAUGAUCAGUAGCUGGACUGAGAGGUUGAACGGCCACAUUGGGACUGAGACACGGCCCAG
rnacentral:rRNA from 1 species